UGCCGUGUUGAGUGCGUUAUGCCCCAGUUCCCUACAAGUGUGCCUACUUUAGAUCUCUUCCAUAUCACACACAAUGUACAAUGUAUGCAGAUAGUAGGCCGGCACCUUUCCAGACACACAAACACACACACACGCACACUUAGUCCUUGCCCCUGCCACAGCUGCUGCCCCAAGCCAAACCACAAAUCGGCACUUCUGGCGCGCUCUCCAUAGCUCAUUUUGCUGUCGUUCGCCGCUCGCUGGAAUAUGUUGGAUUUGGUCUAGGCACGCGAGGGCUUUCCAUUUCUUUGCCCGAUAGAACGACACUGUGGCGCGUAUGAAGAGCAGACGGCGGUCGCAAAUAUCCGCAAGCCAAUAAUUACGCAUUUCGCUUUUCGCAGUAUGGUUAUUUUUAAUGAUAAAUGACCAGGCCCAAAGUGUUGGAAAUUUUUCGGAGCUUAUGCCGAAUAUAUUACCUGAAUGGUGUUUAUGUGUUGGCGGCUACAGACAGAGUACAUACAUACUCGUAUGUGCUACAAGGAAAACAUGGAGGAGGAAAGCCGAAGCAAGAACACGGAGCCCACACAAGGUGUAUGGU